AUGCCGGAUGCUCUCCUCUCCGGCUACAAUCUUUCCCACCUCCAGCGAAACCGUCUCCCGGUCUCUCCACCACCAUCUCUCUUGCUCUUCUGGAACGGGUAUAAAAAGGGAGGGGGCGCCUCUGCCUCCUCUCCAUCGCCAUUAGUGCCUCACGCUCCUCACUGGGAAAAGGGACAGACUACACUGGAAGGAUCAGCGAGAAGGACCGCGCUGGAGAAGCAGGGCACGUGCAUGCAUGCGAGCGCGCUCGAUCUCCUCCUGCCUCCGCGGGUGGGAUCAGAGCUGCUAGCCCUGCACUGCACUGCACGUGUUCUUCUCCUCCAUCACGGUCGUUCCUCGCUCCGGAGCCCGGCGCCGCCGUCGGCCUGCCACGCCCGCCCGCGAGCACGAACCGUACCACGUCGUGUGCCCUCCGGUCCCACGGUCGAUCCACGAGAUUUUGGCCCGCAGCGGAAUCAGAUUUUGGAAAGCACGUCCUGGGCUGCUUCUCCUUUUGGUUCAGAUUUUGGCAGCGGAUUUCUGAAAUCGGAUUCUGCUGGGUUCGCCCUUUGGUUCAGAUUCUGCUGCGCGGCAGCGGAAUCCGUUGAUAAAAGCUGA
rnacentral:rRNA from 1 species